UACAGACCUGGCCACAGCUCGAGGGGGGCUCCGUGGACACUACCACAGCCUCCUGAUUAAUUCCUCAGCAGAGGCAGGGCUGCUUCCUGUCCCAUCUCCCUCCAAGGGCCCUUGCUGAGCCCUGCAGGCUGGGCCAGGCAUCCCCGUGUCCCCCCCCCCCCAUCUCCGUGCUGAUCGCUUUGGGUGACAGCAGUGGGCUCCAGGGCCGCAGGCGCGAAGGGCAGCUCGGACACCUGGCACGAGGAGGGGCGAGGAGAGCUGUGAGCGAACAGUCCUUAUCGCCUCUCAGGACAUACCUCUCACCUGUGUGUUGGAAACUGGGCGCUGCCCACAGGUGUGGGAGACUCACCACCAAGGACCUGCUUACCCAGCGCCUCCACACGCCUUGGUCAGAGGCGUAGGAUCCCUUCCCACCUCCGAGGUGGUCAGCUGGGCGGGGCCAGUCCCCCGCCCGCGUGCAUGCCCGCCCACCCGCACUCAGCGCUCACGACUCCAGGAGGGCACUGGUGAGUUAGCCCCCUUUUCUAAACGACAAAGUUGGGGCUCAGAGAGGCACAGAGACACGCAAGGCUGCACAGGCGCCUCUGCUUGCGGGAGGAGGCCUCCGGCACCUGGUUACGCUUCAGGCUGCGCCUGGGAGCACCUGCCCUCACCCUAACCUGGGGGCUGGUGCUCUUCACUGAUAGCCUUGCUGGUGCCUGGGUGGAGGAGGGAGCACCUGCCCUGUGGAAGUCCCUCCUGGGACCUGGCUGCAGUCUUUCCUGUUGCCAAGUUGCCCUUGGUGGGCCCUGCUCAGAGCUGGUGACGUUGUGAAAGGCAGGAAAAGACCCUGAGAAUGAAGCGAACCCAGAGGCAUCCGAGUCACAGAGCUAGGGGAGAAGGGUGAAUACGGAGAUCUGACAGACAUCCAAGCCACAGGGCAAGCUGGGGCCCCGUGACCCUCAAGGCCUGCCUGGAGCCCCUUGCAUUUAGCAGGAAGCUGGGAACUCAGUUCUGGGGAGGGAGUCGGGACUCCUCGUGCUGCCCAUGCAGGGGUCACUCAGAACCGGGGAGGCAGCCUUGGGCCAGGUAGGAGCCUGGUGUCCACAGGACCCCAUACACCUCCUUCCCACCCACCCUUGGUGCUGGGGGACCUGGCCACUCAGACCUCCCUGGCCAGGGUGACUGGUUCAGCAAUGGGUGUGUGACCUGAGCCUGACCGAUCGGGUCCAGCUGAGUCCGAAGGCCGUGGCUGGAAUUAUUGGCAAGGGGGGCAUUGUCUGUCGCAGCAGCUUGCGAAUUCUCUCCCCACUCUGAGGAGAGCUGCCCACUUGUGAAGCCAGCAACGGCCACGGAUCCUCUGCUACUUGA
rnacentral:lncRNA from 1 species